rnacentral:rRNA from 1 species
AGAACGAACGCUGGCGGCAUGCCUAACACAUGCAAGUCGAACGCUCUUGGUUUCGGCCAAGGGAGUGGCGCACGGGUGAGUAACGCGUGGGAACCUGCCCUGGAGUGGGGGAUAACCGAGGGAAACCUCGGCUAAUACCGCAUACGACCUGAGGGUGAAAGAUUUAUCGCUCUAGGAGGGGCCCGCGUCGGAUUAGCUAGUUGGUGAGGUAACGGCCCACCAAGGCUAUGAUCCGUAGCUGGUCUGGGAGGAUGAUCAGCCACACUGGGACUGAGACACGGCCCAGACUCCUACGGGAGGCAGCAGUGGGGAAUAUUGGACAAUGGGCGCAAGCCUGAUCCAGCAAUGCCGCGUGAGUGAUGAAGGCCUUAGGGUUGUAAAGCUCUUUCACACGCGACGAUGAUGACGGUAGCGUGAGAAGAAGCCCCGGCUAACUUCGCGCCAGCAGCCGC